AACGCAACUUGCGCCCUUUGGUAUUCCGAAGGGCACGCCUGUUUGAGUGUCGUGAAAACUCUCAAGGACCGAGACUUGUCUUGGUCGCUUGGACUUGGAGGUCGUUUGCUGGAUGGUUUACACCAGCUCCUCUUGAAUGCAGCAGUGAGGCUCUUGUGAUGGCUUCCUCUGGUGUUGUAGUAACACUUACGCCAUUGUGUGGUCAUCGCCCAUCGGUCGCUUGUCAUUCCAUUCGGGAUGACGAGCGAAGGAGCUCAGCUUCGAACCGUCCAUGCUUGAUGGACACGUUUUGUGAACCCCUUUGACCUCAAAUCAGGCGGGACUACCCGCUGAACUUAA
rnacentral:misc_RNA from 1 species